CAAGGCUUGACAUGAACCGGAAACACCUGGAAACAGGUGCCCCGCUUGCGGUCGGUUUACAGGUGGUGCAUGGUUGUCGUCAGCUCGUGUCGUGAGAUGUUGGGUUAAGUCCCGCAACGAGCGCAACCCUCGUUCUAUGUUGCCAGCGCGUUAUGGCGGGGACUCAUAGGAGACUGCCGGGGUCAACUCGGAGGAAGGUGGGGACGACGUCAAAUCAUCAUGCCCCUUAUGUCUUGGGCUUCACGCAUGCUACAAUGGCCGGUACAAAGGGUUGCGAUACUGUGAGGUGGAGCUAAUCCCAAAAAGCCGGUCUCAGUUCGGAUUGGGGUCUGCAACUCGACCCCAUGAAGUCGGAGUCGCUAGUAAUCGCAGAUCAGCAACGCUGCGGUGAAUA
rnacentral:rRNA from 1 species